CUGACAUUUUCUUUAACAGAUUGAGUUUAAAAGUGUGUGUGAUCCAGCAAUACAGGUUACUGGCUUACUUGUUGGGUUAAUCUACAAACCUUUUGCUCAUAUGGACUUCUAUUUCAGACAUUUCUUCUGCCUUGGUUUUCUCAGCCUGGGAACAGGAACAGUUCAUCCUCUUUUAUCCCUCUCUUCCAAAGUGAGGAUUUUUUGAUGGAUGAAUAACCCUCGACCUCAGAAUUGCCAUCACAUGCCUAGUCAAUGGGAAUGCAAGCAAAGGAGUUUAGCCUACAAUGGAAAACCAAGUUCCUGUGGGAAAAAACAAGGGACUUUUAGCAGAGGGAAUCCAGUGCCAUGAGAGUAAGAUCAAAGUCUGAUGACUUGACGGCCUCCAUUGAGUCAAAUAUAUUGAUCUGGAUUCAUGCAUGCAGACUCAAUAAAAUAUUUUGGAUCACAAG